rnacentral:rRNA from 1 species
AGAGUUUGAUCCUGGCUCAGGACGAACGCUGGCGGCGUGCCUAACACAUGCAAGUCGAACGAAGCACUGUGGAUAGAGACUUCGGUCAAUUGAAACUUUGACUUAGUGGCGGACGGGUGAGUAACGCGUGAGGAACCUGCCUUUCAGAGGGGGACAACAGUUGGAAACGACUGCUAAUACCGCAUGACACAGCGAGAUCGCAUGGUCUUGCUGUCAAAGAUUUAUCGCUGAAAGAUGGCCUCGCGUCUGAUUAGAUAGUUGGUGAGGUAACGGCCCACCAAGUCGACGAUCAGUAGCCGGACUGAGAGGUUGAACGGCCACAUUGGGACUGAGAUACGGCCCAG